rnacentral:rRNA from 1 species
AUUGAACGCUGGCGGCAUGCCUUACACAUGCAUGUCGAACGGCAGCACGGGGGCAACCCUGGUGGCGAGUGGCGAACGGGUGAGUAAUGCAUCGGAACGUGCCCAGUAGUGGGGGAUAACCCGGCGAAAGCCGGGCUAAUACCGCAUACGACCUAAGGGUGAAAGCGGGGGACCGUAAGGCCUCGCGCUAUUGGAGCGGCCGAUGUCUGAUUAGCUAGUUGGCGGGGUAAAAGCCCACCAAGGCGACGAUCAGUAGCUGGUCUGAGAGGACGACCAGCCAAACUGGGACUGAUACACGGCCCAGACUCCUACGGGUGGCAGCCGUGGGGAAUUUUGGACAAUGGGCGCAAGCCUGAUCCAGCCAUGCCGCGUGCGGGAAGAAGGCCUUCGGGUUGUAAACCGCUUUUGGCAGGAACGAAACGGCGCAAGCCAAUACCUUGCGCUAAUGACGGUACCUGCAGAAUAAGCACCGGCUAACUACGUGCCAGCCGCCGCAGUAACAC